rnacentral:rRNA from 1 species
UACGGGGGGGGGCAAGCGUUGUUCGGAAUUACUGGGCGUAAAGGGCUCGUAGGCGGCCAACUAAGUCGGAUGUGAAAUCCCCAGGCUUAACCUGGGAACUGCAUCCGAUACUGGAUGGCUUGAAUCUGGGAGAGGGAUGCGGAAUUCCAGGUGUAGCGGUGAAAUGCGUAGAUAUCUGGAGGAACACCGGUGGCGAAGGCGGCAUCCUGGACCGGCAUUGACGCUGAGGAACGAAAGCCAGGGGAGCAAACGGG